GCCAGAGUGGUGCAGUGAUUUAAAUCUUGGACUACGACUCUGGAGACCAGGGUUCAAUUCCCUGCUUUGACU